ACAUCAGUAACUCAUUUCGAAGACUGAGGUUUUGAAAGGAUAGGCAGAGAUAGGCGAUCAGAGUUUGGUCUGAAAUUUGUAAGUUUCUGCACAGCGCGAUAAUUACACUACACUGUCUUUAAACAACAAAAGCAUCGGGGAUGCCGAAGGAUACAAAGCAGAGCGCCACACAAGGACCCGGCACGGGUGCCUCGGGCGGCGCUGGGGUCACAAAGGCUGCCCAGGCAGCACGGGAGCCAGAGUCUCAACCCUGCAAGUGCCAGGCUCGCCGCUGCCUCCGAUGCAUCAGUCCCCUAAGCCAAUGUGCGGUGGGGGACCAGGCGACUGCUGGAAAGCAGCAGAGAAGACACUGGGCACUCCGAGGAGGGCAGAAAAUCAUGAUGUAGAACUCUCAGCUCCUUCUCCAGCACCAUGUCUGCCUGCAUGCUACCAUGUCCUGCCAUGAUGAUAAUGGACUAAACCUCGGAACUGUCUCUGGAGAGAAGACUCUCACUGGUUUCAAGAUCUGGGUCUGCCAAGUCUCCAGAAAGGGAGCAACUCUGGUCCCAUGGAUGAGAGACAGGGAGAAUGGCAUGUGUCCCAGGCAGGCCUCAAACCUGUUAAGCAGUUGAGGAUGACCUUGAACUUCUUACCCUCCACCUGCCAAGCGUUGUGAUUACAGGAUUGUGCCACAUGUGGACUUUAGUUGGUGCCGAGGAUCAAAGUUGGGGCACCUACAUAUUCAGCUGCCAACGACCUAUGUGUCCAGCCCCAUUAACGCUUUUGACUCUCUGAAGGGCUUGGUGAAAAACAGGUAAUUACGAUUGUUUACUGUGUAAAGCUGGGGAUCAGCUUCAUGUUUGUGAGGCAGGCUGCUGCCACUGUAUUGUACAAAGCUAGCUUUUUGUUGUUGUGGCAAUACCUAAGAGAAAUAAUUCAAAGAAGGAAAAGGGUUUUUCUUUUUUUUCCUGGUUUCAGAAAGAUGAAUGUUUACACUAACUGGCUUGCUCCUCUUUCCUCUUUUAAUCCAUCUGCCCGGCCCCCACUGAGCCUGUUAGAUGGUGUCAACCACAUUCAAGGAAGGUCUCCCCAGUACCCUUAUAUGGCAAUAUCUUCACAGGUACACUCAGAAGUGAGCUAUACUAACUGCCUGGACAUCUCUCAAUACCAUCAAGUUGACAAUCAAAAUUAACCACAAGUGUGGCUAACAUAUUUUACACCAAGCUGGCUUAUCUCAGUAAGGAAAGACACAUUGCAAAUUGACUAUCACCUCAUUCAUGACUCACCUGUGGCUUUUUUUUUCUGGUUAGCAAUCCAGGUGUCUCAGCAUAGAAUUCUGUACCACUGAAUUCCUCUACGAUGGGUCAGCUGAUCUCUCCUUGCAGAUAAUGCACAGUGCUCUUCCACAAAAUACUUGUCAAGUGUUCCUGCUGUAUCAGGAACAGGGAUAAUUGCUAGUAAAAUUGAGACAACUCCCAUAAGAUCCUUACCCUAGGACAGCUCACUACCAAAGACCCAGAUGUAGCCAGAUACUCAUUUGUCACAAAAUACGGUGCAUGCCACAAAAGGUCUGAGUGCCGAGCUGGUCAGAAUUUUAUAAUCACGCACACUUCCAGUGACAGGGCUGUGAUCUCAGAGGUGCUCUUGUUCUUGUCAAGCAUACUUACAAGAUCCUGGCUCCUACCACACACCUAUGCAGAUGCCUGUUGCUAGGCUGCAAACCAGUGCCCUGUGUUACUGCACUGAGCACGACAGCAGUGUUUAUGCAUCUAAACUUAUCUGAAUGGCUUGCUCACGCCAGCCCGCCACAGCCUUACUAUGACUGUGACAUUAGUAGGUG